UGGAUUCAGUCCUGUGCCACCGUUUCCAUUAACCACAAAGCGCCCCAUGAGCGUAACGUCAUCUGGGUCAACUAUGUGCUCAGUCGACCAGAGCUGGCAGACAUGCCCCUGGACUUAUUACAACUCCCAGAAAGCCUGAGGGCAGAAAGGCUUCAAGCAAGCUCCUCCCCACGUGACACCUCUCCAAAGGCACAAGGCACCACAGAGACGCAACCACUGAAAGGCAGGACCGAGACAGACCACAAAGGGAAGGAAGCCUUCUCACACACUGCUGCCAGCCGAUCAGAGAACACCAGAAAGAGAUUGCACCAGUCUGAUGCUGAAAGCGGUCCUUUUGAGGUGAGGAGGCGGAUGGAGGUGUUUCGGCAGAGAGAGGACAGCCCAUGUACCUCCUCGGACCAAGCCAGCGACAGCGAGGUGGAAGAGGACGAUGAGAGGGAGAGCGAGUGGGACCACAACCCCACCAGAAAGCGGGUGAAGAGCGAAGAGGGGCAGUUGAAACAAGGCAAUGGGGCAAAUGAAGCAAGUAAGAUCCACAACGGUCGUGCAGUGAUCCAGCAUCUUAAGAGUGUGGUGACCAGUUCCGGGUCGAAUAUUAAGACUGAACAAGAAAUAAUGGGAACAAGUGUAGGUGGGGGUUCUGGGAGGCGUUGGAGCCAAGCUCAGCCCAGCAGUGGGGGAACCAAUGGCAGCAGUCCACCUUCCCAACCUCAAAACUCCACCUCCACAGAAGCUCCAUCCAAGGGUCUGUUCAACCCACCCUCCCCGACCCUGUCGCCGUCCAUUCUGGCCUCAUCCCUGCCCAGAGAUGAUCGGUCUAUCCAUGGAGGGCGCGCUCCGGAUUUCGAACUGCUGCAGAGACUGACUGCUAGUGGGGCUGCAGGACGUGUGCUAUUUCAUCCCCUGGCUCUUGGCCCACAGGGGCCUCAGAGUCUCUAUGCUCCCAGCACUAUUCGCUACGCUCCACCUGAGAUGUCUACAGCACAUUCUGAAGGGCACCGCUCAGACCAUGUGGCCAAAACUCCCACUUUCUUUCCCCACUUGCAAAGGAUCACCUCUCUGCCUCCCUUCAGUGGUUUUUCUCCAGCUGAACCCACUUUUCCUCCAACUCUGCCCUUCUGUAUGAAUGGACUGAGGGGAGCAGCAGGGACAGAUGAGGACUGAAGGACAAAGACAGCAAAAAAUGUAAAGGGGUGGCGGAAGAGGUCGUAAAGGACAGGGCACAACGUUGAGAGAGGAACUGCAGAAGAACUUGGGGUUUUUCAAGCAGUCUUCCGAGCAUCCUCUCCAGAUAUUUCUCUGUUAAUUUGUUAGUGUGUCUUCCUCUCUCUGGACAAGCAGUCAAAGCCAUAAUGAACAUAUGAAGGACAUCAUGCAACAUACACAAAGGGGCCAUCAUUGAGGCCUAAACCACUGCAAAUACAGGGCUGUCAUGUGGAAGGAGAGCCGAAGACGUUGUCCUGGGGUUGCGUACAAAGGUCCUCUUUGACCCCUAGGUAGAUGGGCCCACAUAUACAUUUUUUUCCCAGGUCCCCAUAGAUUUAAGAAACCACACAGGAAUAUGCAAGUAUGGACAAAAGUAGAAUGGCGGCAAUUGCCAAAAAAGACAUUCCUAAGGAAACAAUACAUAAGAAAGCACAGUCCACAGAUCCCUGACUGACAGAGGGGUCGUAAUAAAAAUAAAGAUUAGAACUUUUGAACA
ensembl:lncRNA